UCCCUGCUGUGUUUACCCUGCCAACGUUCCCCAAAGAUAUCCAGACCAAACUGGACGCAAAACAACCAUGCCAUAAAGUGUCUACUGAUAGACACAAAAUCGUGAGGAUAUUGCAUGAGACGAUGGCACAAUACACAAUGUAUCCGACAAAUUCUGAAUAUAUUAAAGUGGCCAAAGCAUUGAUUUUCAGGUAUCCUUUCCUGAAGGAUAUGGAGGGGAAUGGAUAUAACACCUGGCAUAUGUCUUUAAAACGGCGGUU